UCUUUUGUUGUACUUAUUGUUUUUAAUGUGAGAUUAUGAUUUAUGUAUCUUUACUUCAACGAUAAACAUAAGCCAUAAAAAAAUAGACUGAGCUUGAGCCUGAUGUGAAAGACGUGCUAGAGAGAAUUUCAGAACAUAUCCAAGCCAAGGUAUCAAACUGUAGCAAAGAGAAAAAUGCUAAUUAUUUUUUGGGGAUAAAAAAUGUUGAAUGCUUUUAUUUAACAUGUGCUUUGCUUUCAGGAUGAUGCUAUGCUAAAAUGUAAGGUAUCUCCUCAACUAAAAUUUUCUACAUAUUACUACCUAAGCUAUAAUUUCAGCUGAAAGGGCCUCACUUUAGGUUUUUGUCCUCUACUGUCAAUAAACUAAUUUAUACAGCUAACAUGGUCGGUAAUAAUAAAACACAGUCUAGUAGAUGGAGAAUUUGCAAAUAAGUAAUUAAAACAUCAUUAUUUAAGAAUUAUUUGUGUAUUUUGUUACUUAAAUUAAUAUGUUAGGGGAUUUUAUACCUUCUUUGAUUUGACCUAGUGGAGGAUUUGGGGGACCUGAAUGGACACACAUAGUCGAGUGAAAUUUGAUUUUUUGCAAUUUAUACAGGUUUCCUUACUCUUGUGGAUAUGAACUCUUCUACUUUCGUCGUAGAUUCAAGGAAGCUUCUGUGGAUUUCUAGGUUUUCUUUCCUUCACUUGUUGUUGGGUGAUUUUUCGUUUUAGUCCAAGGAACCGGAACCAUCUUGUUAUGAGAAAUAAUUGAUUUUUAUUUUCCACAUUAACUGGACACUUCGAUGAUAAGUUUUUUACCUUUUCCAGAUGUUGUACUAGCUACAAAUGUUCGGGAUUUAUUCAAGGUCUAUAGCAGUAACUAGUAGAUGCCCACCAUUAUACUAAAAACAAGACCCCUUUGAAAAUUUCUAGUUUUAUGAUGAGCUGUCUUCAAGGUUUAUGUGUAAAUGUAUGGAUUAAUUGAAAUUAGAUAAGUAUGUUUUGCUACUUGGUAUGAGUAUGCAAUUGAACUUCUUAACUCUAUUGUUGCAAGUCCUCGUGCCUCUCUUGCCAUUUCCUUUAUAUUCUGAUUUUUUGAUUUUAAAUAAGUCAUCUACUUCAGGAAGAAAAUUAUAGGCUGAAUGCAGACUUCAAAGAGCGAAAUGCCUACGUUGAGAGCUGCAGAGCUGAAAUCGUUAUUUUCUAGUCUCAUGAAGGAUUCAAUAGUCAUAAAGCAUAGAGAAACAAGCUACAAGAAGCAUGUAUCCUUUUCUCUUUCUAUUUUGGUCAGGCUUAUUGAAAGGGCAUAGUUUGACUAGACUUUUCUGCUUUUGUAGAUCAUGGUGAAAAAGAAAAGUGAACUUAUUGUUGAAUUUGAUAAGCUAAGACCACAAGUGUUCUUAUUCCUCUGUCGUUGGGUCCUAUUUAUAGGAAAAAUCUCUUGUAGAUGUCACUAAUCAAAUAGUGAGCUUAAAGCCACUGUGACCACGAAACAAGGUGAGGUGGGCACAGAGCUCAUUGAUCACUUAACACCACAGGAAAAACAUGAACUAUCCCAGCUGAACUAAGAAAUAAAAGAUCUUAAAGAGGAGCUUAUUAAAUUUAGAACAGAUCGCAUCGAGGUAAGAUAUCUCAACCUUGUGAGAAGCAACUGUACUUAUCCUUAACAGGUAUUUGUUCUGUUUCACAUGAAGCUUUUGUGGCCUUCCAAGCUACUUCCAUAUUUAUGAUCUGCUUUCUGAUAGGCCUCUUGCUUGCUGUCAUGCAUGCCUAUAUGCUAAUGGGUGUAUGGUAAUACAUUGCCCCAAAAGUUUCUGUAUAUUUGUUGCUAAUUGAGGUGGGUGACUUUUUGGAAGAAAAUAGUUUAUUAUCGUUUAUUAUUGCCACCUGUUGCACUAGAGGUGAUAGAUUGAUGUUGCACUGAUGUGUCUUGGCCUCAAACCCUAGAAAAAUAAUAUUACUUGUCACUGAAAAAUGAGUAAAUAAAAAGAAACGAAUUAUUCCUCAUGCUUUUACAAUGUCUAUCUGCUAUUUGUGAUUUAUUAAGAUACAUUUUGAGUAUUAACAUUAGUUUUUGUUACUAUGAAGGCAAAGGUGAUGGUACAAAUGCAGAAUCUGGAGCACAUGAAGAAGAUUUUCUCAUCCAGGAUGAGAUUUCUAAAUCUUGUCUAGUGAACGUGUAGCGUGUAAGUCAUUCUUUAUGGAGAUGCUGCAUUUUGCAAGUAUUGCAAAAGUUGCAAGUGCUCCAUUAUACAUGCAUCCCUUGUUAUUGAAUUGUUGAUUAUCUGUAGGAGGAAGAGACAAUUUUGCAUGAGAGAGACGGCUAUAAACUGGAAGAGGGACGUCUUAUACGUGAAUUGAAAAGGAUACGAGAUGAGGAUGAUUCAAGUUUUAAUAAUUUUCAGAUUUUAAAUCAUCAAUAUGCCCUUUUAAACCUUCUUGGGCAAGGAGGAUUUAGUGAGGUUUACAAGGUCCGAACUUCGGCAAGUAGUUUCAAUUGAUAAUAGAAAGUAGUUUCAUUUGAUAAUAGAAACACUAACCUUUGCUUGUUUGAUGAAAAUUCUUAUAUACCAUGACAAGAGUAUAGAUCAUUCUGUUGCCAAUAUUGACAAUUGUAAAAGCACAUCCUUUUGCAGUGAUUUGAAGUGAGAAAUUUCCGGCAGGCUUAUGAUUUGGUCGAGCAUAGGUAUGUUCCAUGAAGGUGCAGGGCAUCAUGUUUUAUCUGCUUUUGUUGAGAUUGUGUUGAUAAUUCCGACAAUCACAUCCCGGUAAUACUUCAUAACCUACUUCUUUUUCUUUUCUGAGGUAUGGAGUGUAAAUAAUGGUCCACAUCUUAUUACGAAAGAAGAAGGAUCCUGAAUUUUAUAUUUGUUUUUUUCUUCUUCUAACAUAUAAGCUUAUCUUUAUCUUUACAAAGCUUCUCCCACAAUGCUCCAGAAUUUCUUUUGAAUUAGUUGUUCUAUCAUGAGGCAUAAUUUUAUUUUAGUUCAGAAAGUCAAACUUUGGCCACCA